rnacentral:Y_RNA from 1 species
GGCUGGUCCGAUGGUAGUGGGUUAUCAGAACUUACUAACGUUAGUGUUACUAAAGUUGGUAUACAACCCCCCACUGCUAAAUUUGACUGAAAA